CCUACGGGAGGCAGCAGUGGGGAAUAUUGGGCAAUGGGCGCAAGCCUGACCCAGCAACGCCGCGUGAAGGAAGAAGGCUUUCGGGUUGUAAACUUCUUUUCUCAGGGACGAAGCAAGUGACGGUACCUGAGGAAUAAGCCACGGCUAACCACGUGCCAGCAGCCGCGGUAAUACGUAGGUGGCAAGCGUUAUCCGGAUUUACUGGGUGUAAAGGGCGUGUAGGCGGGAAAGCAAGUCAGAUGUGAAAACCAUGGGCUCAACCUGUGGCCUGCAUUUGAAACUGUUUUUCUUGAGUACUGUAGAGGCGGACGGAAUUCCUAGUGUAGCGGUGAAAUGCGUAGAUAUUAGGAAGAACACCGGCGGCGAAGGCGGCCUUCUGGGCCACGACUGACGCUGAGGAGCGAAAGCGUGGGUAGCAAACAGGAUUAGAUACCCGAGUAGUC
rnacentral:rRNA from 1 species